rnacentral:sRNA from 1 species
CUGCAGAGAACAAAAGAGCACUGAUAUCGAUGUAAGCGUAAGGGAUAGGCGGACGACGAACGGGACGAGAAGGACGGAUCGAGUCCGCUGUACUUAGACAUGUACGUAGGUACAGUACGUACGUAGUGCAAGUCCGCCCGACGGACGGGCAUGGGAAAGGUAUUAUCUAAGAUCGAGUGGAUACACUUUUUUGUCACCCACAUGGCUCUCUCUCUUGACUCUCAAUCUUCUUUGACAAAGACUUAUCCUCUCAUCACACAACUACCUACUAGCCCUCCUCUUGCACCAGGGCAACUUAGCAGCAGAACAGACGGCCAGGGAUGGACGUAGUAAGGUCUGGUGAUG